rnacentral:rRNA from 1 species
AUUGAACGCUGGCGGCAGGCCUAACACAUGCAAGUCGAGCGGAUGAAGGGAGCUUUCUCCUGGCUUCCGCGGCGGACGGGUGAGUAAUGCCUAGGAAUCUGCCUGGUAGUGGGGGCUAACGUCCGGAAACGGGCGCUAAUACCGCAUACGUCCUGAGGGUGAAAGUGGGGGAUCUUCGGACCUCACGCUAUCUGAUGUGACUAGGUCGGAUUAGCUAGUUGGUGGGGUAAAGGCCUACCAAGGCGACGAUCCGUAACUGGUCUGAGAGGAUGAUCAGUCACACUGGAACUGAGACACGGUCCAGACUCCUACGGGAGGCAGCAGUGGGGAAUAUUGGACAAUGGGCGAAAGCCUGAUCCAGCCAUGCCGCGUGUGUGAAGAAGGUCUUCGGAUUGUAAAGCACUUUAAGUUGGGAGGAAGGGCAGUAAGUUAAUACCUGGCUGUUUUGACGGUACCAACAGAAUAAGCACCGGCUAACUUCGUG